UCUAUGAGCGUACCUUAGAGAAUUGACGCCCUUUUUUGGUUGGGAUUCUAAACGUCUGACCACUGUGCUCUAGGAAAGAAAAAGUAAACCCUAAGCAGGACAACACGAGGGCUUGGAGACGGAGAUUUACCCAGCGGCUAGACCACAGUGGGUCUCGUGCCAUCGUGAUAUCAUAACGUGUUAAAAAAUUAAGCUUACUGUGAAAGAGCUAGAGAUUUAAAUUAAGGAGGUCCAUCUUUUUAACACUAGUUCAGGUCAAAGUCACAGCGAUCCGAAAAUACCCUUUUAUUUUCAAAUUUCGUUGAUGAACAAUUGAACAGGUCAAAGGUGAAGACGAUUCAAGACAUUCAAUUUCAUAUUUCAUCGAGAACGCUAAAGUGGG